UUCUGUCCUGGGCUUACAGUCCUCCUGUGGUUUUCCUGUCUCACAGCCCCUAGGUGGCAGCAGCAGAGAAUUGGAGGACAGAGGAUGAGCAGAGUGGAAGGGAGACGUGGUUGUUAAAACAAGAAGAGAAGCAGCAGGUCACCUCGGAGUCCUCUCCCUGUGCAGGAAGUGUUUUCCUGCUGCUGCCUUCCUGAGUGGCCUUGCCUCCUGCAGACUGUGGCACAGCAGAGAUAUUAUUGUCUUCAUUGAAACGAAUGGAUGCCCCUCUGGGAGUCUGGAUAUUAUCAAGAUGAAAAAGGUCUCCUUCUCCUGUGCAUUUUCUCCAGUUGGAGAACUCUGUGAAUCAGUGAGUCUCAGGCCAGAUCAGAGUCACCAAGCUUGCAGAAUGGUCGUCUGGAGCAGACAAGAGGCAGGAGGAACGGCCUGAAGGUGAAGCAAGGGGACACGUCACAGCAGCCACCGAGACCUGCCUCCAGACUGGCCUCUGUCUUCCCUUCCAGUUCUCUUGCCUGGAGAAUCCCAUGGACGGAGGAGCCUGGUGGGCUACAGUCCACGGGGUUGC
ensembl:lncRNA